rnacentral:rRNA from 1 species
GGAAACUGAGUAUAAUGCCCGAUAGAACACUAUACCUGGAAUGGUUUGUGUUCCAAAUGAAUGUCGCCGUAGGAUGGGACUGCGGCCUAUCAGUUUGUUGGUGAGGUAAUGGCCCACCAAGACUAUUACAGGUACGGGCUCUGAGAGGAGUAGCCCGGAGAUGGGUACUGAGACACGGACCCAGGCCCUAUGGGGCGCAGCAGGCGAGAAAACUUUGCAAUGUGCGAAAGCACGACAAGGUUAAUCCGAGUGGUUUGUGCUAAACGAACCUUUUGACAGUCCUAGAAACACUGUUGAAUAAGGGGUGGGCAAGUUCUGGUGUCAGCCGCCGCGGUAAAACCAGCACCUCAAGUGGUCAGGAUGAUUAUUGGGCCUAAAGCAUCCGUAGCCGGCUCUGUAAGUUUUCGGUUAAAUCUGUACGCUCAACGUACAGGCUGCCGGGAAUACUGCAGAGCUAGGGAGUGGGAGAGGUAGACGGUACUCGGUAGGAAGGGGUAAAAUCCUUUGAUCUAUUGAUGACCACCUGUGGCGAAGGCGGUCUACCAGAACACGUCCGACGGUGAGGGAUGAAAGCUGGGGGAGCAAACCGGAUUAGAUACCCGGGUAGUCCCAGCUGUAAACUAUGCAAACUCAGUGAUGCAUUGGCUUGUGGCCAAUGCAGUGCUGCAGGGAAGCCGUUAAGUUUGCCGCCUGGGAAGUACGUACGCAAGUAUGAAACUUAAAGGAAUUGGCGGGGGAGCACCACAAGGGGUGAAGCCUGCGGUUC